UGAGAAAAUGUCAGCCAGCAGAUUUUGGACCAUUGCACUGUUGUUAUUGGUGAUCCAGAUCCAACUCAGCACCGUGCUCACCCUCGAACAACCUGCAUGUACGCAAUCCUCUUAAGUACAUGUUUUUUUACCGUAUUAUAUAUAUUGCCUACCUUUCUUUGAAAGAUAUAUAGGAUGGAUAUGCAUGUAAUAUACGGCAAAGUGACCAAUGAGCAUGCCUACCUUCCUUUCGUUUUUUUAAGUUUAAAAACUGUAUUUUUUGACCGUAUAUGCAUGGUUACAGGGUUCAGAAAUAGACUUAAUUAUGUUCAGAAAACCAGUCCCUUGAUGACACAUUUCAUUUUACUUCAACACAUUCCAUUUUACUUUUGAAAUCCACAUCAACGCAUUUGUGUUCACCGGAAAAAUUUCAAUGGCCAGUUUUGGAAAGUUGUACAUGAAUAGAAUGUUAUUUGAUUCAUUGACGACUGGUUAUCUCGAUUACUCAGUCUCCAGACCAAAUUCACGGCAACUCACGUAAACAUACUUGUCCUUGGUUUGACCAGAUGUAGUACUAUCGCCCCAUCAGGUAGUUUAACAAGCAGGGCAUCUCAAAUACUCCAGAUCAGCCAUCUCCUUGUGGUUGGCACACCAACUUUUUGAUAGCGUCCAUGGGAGAAUAUGUGAGGAGGAGGCCAAGGAGUUGUUUCAAACAAACAGUAAAUGUUUUUUUAAUACCAAGGACCUAGAAACAAAUGAAUUCAUAUGAAAUUUGUUAGUAUUUUGUUAUAUCUAUGAUACUUUACUAGACUACGGUUCGGCCAUGGUCCAAUACUUUGGAUUGAGAUGUAAAUUUUCCAAAAUAGUUCACUGCACAAGAAUAGGCUUGAGGACCUUAGGGCUACCGUGUCAAGAGCGCAAGAGCCUCCACAAAGGACCAUGUAGCUAAAUCAUCCAUAAAGCCCAUACAGUUGUGCUAAAACUUUUACUCUAAAGCUAUUAUAUAAAUCAGGACAGUGAAAAGCUAUCAGCAAUUUGAUCCUUUGCCUAGUGCCUUGGUACAUAGUUUAUUUUGUGACUGCAAAGAUGUCAACAAGCAGCGGGCCUCGGUUUUGUUUGAUAUUCCUAUCAACCAACUAUCCCAAAAGACUGAUCUGAUAGGAAGAGGAGAUAUAAUAUACUUAACAGGUUUAUCACUAUGUUGCUGCUGCUAGUGUUCCUUCUACUCAUCACUGUGCCCCACGUAAACAGGAAACCUCCAACAGUUUGUAAGCAAACAUCUUAGGUUCAUGACUUCACUACAAUUUUGUGUCUCAAUCAACACAUUUUUCAAAAAGAGUCAUGUGGUUUAACUUCUCCAAAACUCUCCAAUAGUAAGUUUCUAUUCAGAUUAUUAAAGUGUUAUUUUAAGUAUAUCAAUAUUUGUUAAUUAAGAUAAACAAUACCCCCUCCAUUUCAAACUAUUGUUUGACCAAGUCUCAAUAAACUUGGUCAAACCUUAUAUGACUUCAACAAAAUCUAUAUAUGCACUAUUUUGGUACCACAAAUAGUAGUUGCAUAGUCCAUGAUUACAUGUUUUAGAUCUAUAAAGGUCGAGUAAAGUUUACCUCAACAGUGAAUAGAUCAAUGCAAAUUUCACUUAUUCCUUUUUUAAACAGGUUGAUCAACAUACACAAACAUAUAUAUGGCACUGUCUUAUUAUAUUCUUUGGAUCUAUGUGCAGGCACCUAUCUUCUUCCAGGUAAUUGUCGCCGUAAAUAAAUGGUGAACUGAAGUUCGAAAAGUGUGCGUAUGGUAGGUUAUUCAGUUUCCCAAGAAAUGAAAUGAAGUUGGAAAAAAAUUGUACCCCGGGAAUCAAAAGUUUAGCUAGUUUGCUGGG
rnacentral:lncRNA from 1 species